rnacentral:lncRNA from 1 species
AAAUUUAUUCCCUGAUACAUGUUUUUAAAAAUGAAUCUUGCUGCCCUUAGAAAAUGAACCCCCGAACAAGGUAAGGUCGAGCUGGCCCCUCGUGUCAUCCGACUUUGCGUUGUGGCCCUGCCUGCAGAAACGUGUGCUCUGCUACAGCCCUGGGAGGAGGGGCCGGGCUCCCAACUCCUGCCCCGCUUCUAGCACAUGCUGUGCUUGGCCACUUCUCUGCCUCUUAGUUUAACAGCAGCACUGGGCAAGGUUUGCCCUCUGCACACCAGACCGGCUUCCCAAGAACCGGGGAAGAGGAGAGGGCAUGCCUGGGGCCUGAGCUUAGUGGGCCGGGUGGAGGCAGGAGGUACUGCAUGGAGGAGCGUGGACAGUGGCAUGCAGGAGGCCAGUCAUUCUGCGGUUUUAGCUGGAGGUU